rnacentral:rRNA from 1 species
AGUGAACGCUGGCGGUAGGCCUAACACAUGCAAGUCAAACGGCAGCACAGGAGAGCUUGCUCUCUGGGUGGCGAGUGGCGGACGGGUGAGGAAUACAUCGGAAUCUACUUUUUCGUGGGGGAUAACGUAGGGAAACUUACGCUAAUACCGCAUACGACCUACGGGUGAAAGCAGGGGACCUUCGGGCCUUGCGCGAUUGAAUGAGCCGAUGUCGGAUUAGCUAGUUGGCGGGGUAAAGGCCCACCAAGGCGACGAUCCGUAGCUGGUCUGAGAGGAUGAUCAGCCACACUGGAACUGAGACACGGUCCAGACUCCUACGGGAGGCAGCAGGGGGGAAUAUUGGACAAUGGGCGCAAGCCUGAUCCAGCCAUACCGCGUGGGUGAAGAAGGCCUUCGGGUUGUAAAGCCCUUUUGUUGGGAAAGAAAUCCAGCUGGCUAAUACCCGGAUGGGAUGACGGUACCCAAAGAAUAAGCACCGGCUAACUUCGUGCCAGCCGCCGCAGUAA